rnacentral:tRNA from 1 species
GGGCCGUUAGCUUAGUCGGUAGAGCACCGCAUUCGCAUUGCGGCAACGGGAGUUCGAUUCUCCCACGGUCCACCA